rnacentral:rRNA from 1 species
CCUACGGGAGGCAGCAGUGGGGAAUAUUGGACAAUGGGGGGAACCCUGAUCCAGCGACGCCGCGUGAGUGAAGAAGUAUCUCGGUAUGUAAAGCUCUAUCAGCAGGGAAGAAAAUGACGGUACCUGACUAAGAAGCUCCGGCUAACUACGUGACAGCAGCCGCGGUAAUACGGAGGGGGCCAGCGUUAUCCGGAUUUACUGGGUGUAAAGGGAGCGUAGACGGUGCAGCAAGUCCGGUGUGAAAGGUCGGGGCCCAACCCCGGGACUGCAGUGGAAACCGUUGGACUGGAGUACAGUAGAGGUAGGCGGAAUUCGUGGUGUAGCGGUGAAAUGCGUAGAUAUUAGGAGGAACACCAGUGGCGAAGGCGGCUUACUGGACUGUAACUGACGUUGAGGCUCGAAAGCGUGGGGAGCAAACAGGAUUAGAUACCCGGGUAGUC